CUGUUUUUAUGUAGGGUAAAUAUUUGCCUUUGUUUAUCAUUGUUCGCCUUUCUUUCGCCCACAUCCAAACAGAGUGUAAGAGGGCACAAAUCACGACUAACCUCAUCACCAAGCAGCCUAUCUCUGUGUGCGUCUGGAAUCUAGGCACGGUCUUCAUCCAUCAGCCAUCUCUUGUAAUCCUUUGUCCGGACUGAUUACGAGAAGCAGCCAAGCGUAGAACAGGAAGCAAAGCUUUUUUAUUUUAUUUUUAGUUCAAUCAUCAUUCACCAUCGCUAUAUUCAUCAGUUAGCUCUCAUGGAAAGAUCUGUGGCUGAUGAAAAGAUUCUAAGCUACAAUGAUGUUGUUCUUAGGCGAUCGGACCUGGACAUCCUCAGUGGUCCAUAUUUUAUUAAUGAUCGAAUCAUUGAAUUCUACUUCAGUUAUCUCUCUUCAAGUAAUCCUUCAGAAGAUGUCCUAUUGAUUGCACCCUCAAUUGCUUUCUGGAUUUCAAACUGCCCAGAUACCGAGUCUCUCAAUGAUUUCCUGGGACCCCUUAAAUUACAAGACAAGAAAUUGGUGAUAUUUCCUGUCAAUAACAAUGAUGAUGUGAGCCUUGCUGAAGGUGGAUCACAUUGGACCUUACUUGCAUAUGAGAGAAAUGCUAAUGUCUUUGUUCAUCAUGAUAGCUAUUCUGGGAUGAAUAAAAGGCAUGCUUUGCAACUUUAUAAAGCUGUUGUGGGAUUUAUAGGUGCAGCUCAUGCCAAGUAUAUGGAACUUGCUAAUUCACCUCAGCAAGUGAAUGGUUGUGAUUGCGGCUUAUAUGUUACAGCAAUUGCAAGGGCGAUAUGCUACUGGAAUGAAAACUCUGAUCACAAGGACAGAGAUGGUCUAUGGUUUUCUGUUGUGAAUGAGCAGGUUACUCCAUCUGCUGUUGGUGCUAUGCGAAAUGAAAUUCUCCUUAUGCUUAGAAGUCUUAUGGAAAGCAAAUGAGGUCUAUCCAUCGCAGAAGACAAAUAUGAAUCUGGACUGAUGUUAGUUCAGGACUUGGAAACUUAACCCUUUUUAUGGCUCAUCUUAAGAGUGGUUUAGAUGGCAUUCAAUUCUUAAGUUUAGGAAACCAAAACUGGAGACUCGAUAUUGCUGUAGAAGUUAAAUUUCUGGGCAAUUUCUGAAACAGAAGUGGGUUAACUUUCCUCAGCUUUUGAAAUUUGCCGUUUACUGUGAUGCACAUACAGUGAAGAAGCAAUAUCGAUGGAAGCAGCUGUUAUAAAAUCCAGCAGCAGUGUGUCAAUUCUUAGCCGCAGGAUACAUCUAAACAUAUCGACAUGAGCUUGAGACCUGAGUGACAGCAGCUUUUCUUUCCUGUUUCUGUUUCUGAAACCCAAUGUUUUCUGAUUGCCUGUAGGAUUUUCUUUCAAGCAAUCUAAUUGCCUGGUUGUCUUGUUCUGAUUUUGAUUCUUAGGAAAUAACAGUUUCCUACACCAAUGUGAAAAAUUACAAACAGCAGGCUAAAAAGCAUGCAUUGGAAAGGUUGUCUAAACCAUUCUCAAGUUCAAUUGUAAAAACAACAAAAAGUGCACAUAGAAUUUGAAUCUGUAGCCUUUUCUUGUA